rnacentral:misc_RNA from 1 species
CCGGAAUCGACCCGCUCGAUCUCGCGCGCGACCAGGCCAUAAGCCACGUAGCUCGCAUUGGCGCAGCCGUAUUCUUCCGGCAGCGUGACGCCGAUCAGGCCGAGCUCACCCAUCUCGUUGAAGAUUUCGCGAUCGGUCUUCUCUUCGGCAUACGCCUGCGUGACGCGCGGCAACAGCUUGUCCUGGGCGUAAGCGCGCGCGGUGUCGCGGAUCAUGCGCUCGUCCUCGGUCAACUGCUCGUCGAGCAGGAACGGAUCGUCCCACUGGAAUGUCGCCUUGGCUGGCUUGUCCUUGGUCUGC